UACGGGGGGGCAAGCGUUGUUCGGAAUUACUGGGCGUAAAGGGCUCGUAGGCGGCCAACUAAGUCAGACGUGAAAUCCCUCGGCUUAACCGGGGAACUGCAUCUGAUACUGGAUGGCUUGAGUUCGGGAGAGGGAUGCGGAAUUCCAGGUGUAGCGGUGAAAUGCGUAGAUAUCCGAAGGAACAUCAGUGGCGAAAGCGGCUUCCUGGACCAGAACUGGACGAUCAGGCACGAAAGCGUGGGGAG
rnacentral:rRNA from 1 species